rnacentral:rRNA from 1 species
AGAGUUUGAUCCUGGCUCAGGACGAACGCUGGCGGCGUGCCUAAUACAUGCAAGUCGAACGCUUCUUUUUCCACCGGAGCUUGCUCCACCGGAAAAAGAGGAGUGGCGAACGGGUGAGUAACACGUGGGUAACCUGCCCAUCAGAAGGGGAUAACACUUGGAAACAGGUGCUAAUACCGUAUAACAAUCGAAACCGCAUGGUUUUGAUUUGAAAGGCGCUUUCGGGUGUCGCUGAUGGAUGGACCCGCGGUGCAUUAGCUAGUUGGUGAGGUAACGGCUCACCAAGGCCACGAUGCAUAGCCGACCUGAGAGGGUGAUCGGCCACAUUGGGACUGAGACACGGCCCAAACUCCUACGGGAGGCAGCAGUAGGGAAUCUUCGGCAAUGGACGAAAGUCUGACCGAGCAACGCCGCGUGAGUGAAGAAGGUUUUCGGAUCGUAAAACUCUGUUGUUAGAGAAGAACAAGGAUGAGAGUAACUGUUCAUCCCUUGACGGUAUCUAACCAGAAAGCCACGGCUAACUACGUGCCAGCAGCCGCGGUAAUACGUAGGUGGCAAGCGUUGUCCGGAUUUAUUGGGCGUAAAGCGAGCGCAGGCGGUUUCUUAAGUCUGAUGUGAAAGCCCCCGGCUCAACCGGGGAGGGUCAUUGGAAACUGGGAGACUUGAGUGCAGAAGAGGAGAGUGGAAUUCCAUGUGUAGCGGUGAAAUGCGUAGAUAUAUGGAGGAACACCAGUGGCGAAGGCGGCUCUCUGGUCUGUAACUGACGCUGAGGCUCGAAAGCGUGGGGAGCAAACAGGAUUAGAUACCCUGGUAGUCCACGCCGUAAACGAUGAGUGCUAAGUG